rnacentral:rRNA from 1 species
GUACACUCCUACGGGAGGCAGCAGUGAGGAAUAUUGGACAAUGGGUGGAAGCCUGAUCCAGCCAUCCCGCGUGCAGGAAGACGGCCCUAUGGGUUGUAAACUGCUUUUAUCUGGGGAUAAACCUACUUACGUGUAAGUAGCUGAAGGUACCAGAAGAAUAAGCACCGGCUAACUCCGUGCAAGCAGCCGCGGUAAUACGGAGGGUGCAAGCGUUAUCCGGAUUUAUUGGGUUUAAAGGGUCCGUAGGCGGACUGAUAAGUCAGUGGUGAAAUCCGACAGCUUAACUGUCGAACUGCCAUUGAUACUGUUAGUCUUGAGUAAGGUUGAAGUGGCUGGAAUAAGUAGUGUAGCGGUGAAAUGCAUAGAUAUUACUUAGAACACCAAUUGCGAAGGCAGGUCACUAAGUCUUAACUGACGCUGAUGGACGAAAGCGUGGGGAGCGAACAGGAUUAGAAACCCUUGUAGUCCCA